GGUUAAGCGAAUAAGCGUACACGGUGGAUGCCUAGGCAAUCAGAGGCGAUGAAGGACGUGCUAAUCUGCGAUAAGCGUCGGUAAGGUGAUAUGAACCGUUAUACCCGACGAUUUCCGAAUGGGGAAACCCAAUAUCCAAUGGAUAUUAUCAUGACGUGAAUACAUAGCGUCAUGAAGCGAACCGGGAGAACUGAAACAUCUCAGUACCCCGAGGAAAAGAAAUCAACCGAGAUUCCCCUAGUAGCGGCGAGCGAACGGGGAACAGCCCAGAGUCUUAAUCAACAGCAGCAUCAGGAGAACGGUCUGGAAAGUCCGGCAGUAAAGGGUGAUAGCCCCGUAUCUGAAGAUGCUGUUAUUGUGAACUCGACGAGUAGGGCGGGACACGUGUUAUCCUGUCUGAAUAUGGGGGGACCAUCCUCCAAGGCUAAAUACUCCUGAUUGACCGAUAGUGAACCAGUACCGUGAGGGAAAGGCGAAAAGAACCCCGGCGAGGGGAGUGAAAAAGAACCUGAAACCGUGUACGUACAAGCAGUAGGAGCCUCUUUAUGGGGUGACUGCGUACCUUUUGUAUAAUGGGUCAGCGACUUAUAUUCUGUAGCAAGGUUAACCGUAUAGGGGAGCCGUAGGGAAACCGAGUCUUAACUGGGCGAAUGAGUUGCAGGGUAUAGACCCGAAACCCGGUGAUCUAUCCAUGGGCAGGUUGAAGGUUGGGUAACACUAACUGGAGGACCGAACCGACUAAUGUUGAAAAAUUAGCGGAUGACUUGUGGAUGGGGGUGAAAGGCCAAUCAAACCGGGAGAUAGCUGGUUCUCCCCGAAAGCUAUUUAGGUAGCGCCUCGUGAACUCAUCUUCGGGGGUAGAGCACUGUUUCGACUAGGGGGUCAUCCCGACUUACCAACUCGAUGCAAACUGCGAAUACCGAAGAAUGUUAUCACGGGAGACACACGGCGGGUGCUAACGUCCGUCGUGAAGAGGGAAACAACCCAGACCGCCAGCUAAGGUCCCAAAGUCAUGGUUAAGUGGGAAACGAAGUGGGAAGGCUCAGACAGCCAGGAUGUUGGCUUAGAAGCAGCCAUCAUUUAAAGAAAGCGUAAUAGCUCACUGGUCGAGUCGGCCCGCGCGGAAGAUGUAACGGGGCUAAACCAUGCACCGAAGCUGCGGCAGCGACACUUAUGUGUUGUUGGGUAGGGGAGCGUUCUGUAAGCCUGCGAAGGUGUACUGUGAGGUAUGCUGGAGGUAUCAGAAGUGCGAAUGCUGACAUAAGUAACGAUAAUGCGGGUGAAAAACCCGCACGCCGGAAGACCAAGGGUUCCUGUCCAACGUUAAUCGGGGCAGGGUGAGUCGACCCCUAAGGCGAGGCUGAAAAGCGUAGUCGAUGGGAAACGGGUUAAUAUUCCCGUACUGGUGGUAACUGCGAUGGGGGAACGGAGAAGGCUAGGUUGUCCGGGCGACGGUCGUCCCGGUUCAAGCAUGUAGGCAGAGUGAUUAGGCAAAUCCGGUCACUUAAUGCUGAGGUGUGAUGACGAACCACUAAGGUGGUGAAGCAAUUGAUGCCCUGCUUCCAGGAAAAGCCUCUAAGCUUCAGGUUACCAACAAUCGUACCCCAAACCGACACAGGUGGUCAGGUAGAGAAUACUCAGGCGCUUGAGAGAACUCGGGUGAAGGAACUAGGCAAAAUGGUGCCGUAACUUCGGGAGAAGGCACGCUGGCGGUAAGUGAAGUCCCUUGCGGACGGAGCCGAAGCCAGUCGAAGAUACCAGCUGGCUGCAACUGUUUAUUAAAAACACAGCACUGUGCAAACACGAAAGUGGACGUAUACGGUGUGACGCCUGCCCGGUGCUGGAAGGUUAAUUGAUGGGGUUAUCCGUAAGGAGAAGCUCUUGAUCGAAGCCCCAGUAAACGGCGGCCGUAACUAUAACGGUCCUAAGGUAGCGAAAUUCCUUGUCGGGUAAGUUCCGACCUGCACGAAUGGCGUAAUGAUGGCCAGGCUGUCUCCACCCGAGACUCAGUGAAAUUGAACUCGCUGUGAAGAUGCAGUGUACCCGCGGCAAGACGGAAAGACCCCGUGAACCUUUACUAUAGCUUGACACUGAACAUUGAGCCUUGAUGUGUAGGAUAGGUGGGAGACUUUGAAGUGUGGACGCCAGUCUGCAUGGAGUCAACCUUGAAAUACCACCCUUUAACGUUUGAUGUUCUAACCUAGGUCCAUAAUCUGGAUCGGGGACCGUGUCUGGUGGGUAGUUUGACUGGGGCGGUCUCCUCCUAAAGAGUAACGGAGGAGCACGAAGGUUGGCUAAGCAUGGUCGGACAUCAUGCGGUUAGUGCAAAGGCAUAAGCCAGCUUGACUGUGAGAGUGACGGCUCGAGCAGGUACGAAAGUAGGUCUUAGUGAUCCGGUGGUUCUGAAUGGAAGGGCCAUCGCUCAACGGAUAAAAGGUACUCCGGGGAUAACAGGCUGAUACCGCCCAAGAGUUCAUAUCGACGGCGGUGUUUGGCACCUCGAUGUCGGCUCAUCACAUCCUGGGGCUGAAGUAGGUCCCAAGGGUAUGGCUGUUCGCCAUUUAAAGUGGUACGCGAGCUGGGUUUAGAACGUCGUGAGACAGUUCGGUCCCUAUCUGCCGUGGGCGUUGGAAGAUUGAGAGGGGUUGCUCCUAGUACGAGAGGACCGGAGUGAACGCACCACUGGUGUUCGGGUUGUCAUGCCAAUGGCAUUGCCCGGUAGCUAAGUGCGGAAGAGAUAACCGCUGAAAGCAUCUAAGCGGGAAACUUGCCUCGAGAUGAGUCUUCCCUGUCACCUUGAGUGACCUAAAGGAACGUUUAAGACUAAGACGUUGAUAGGCUGGGUGUGUAAGCGUAGCGAUACGUUGAGCUAACCAGUACUAAUGAACCGUGAGGCUUAACCUG
rnacentral:rRNA from 1 species